rnacentral:rRNA from 1 species
UACGUAGGGCGCAAGCGUUGUCCGGAAUUAUUGGGCGUAAAGAGCUCGUAGGCGGCCUGUUGCGUCCGCUGUGAAAUCCCGGGGCUCAACCCCGGGCCUGCAGUGGAUACGGGCUGGCUAGAGGCAGGCAGGGGAGAACGGAAUUCCUGGUGUAGCGGUGAAAUGCGCAGAUAUCAGGAGGAACACCGGUGGCGAAGGCGGUUCUCUGGGCCUGUACUGACGCUGAGGCACGAAAGCCAGGGGAGCAAACGGG